UUUGCUUUUAAACCAAACUGCCAUUUGAUUCUUUUUAUUUUAAUAACAUGGUUGUAGGGGAAGCAGCAGCAUUCAGAUAAAGCACAUGUUUACUUUAAUUGCUCUGUAAGUCUGGCAAGAUCUGAAUAAUCUUUUUUGUAACUUUAAUUACCUGAUGUUUUGCUAGUAUUUCCCACACCCUUGAAGCUGGAUUGGGGGUGGUUGUGUGAACUCAGAAGUUUUGGGCAGAAGCGUGAAACUAAAGUCCCCUCACAAGAAGAGACAGAAUAAAAGGAGGGAGAUGGGUUUAUAUAGGGAUGACUGGGAGGAGUAAAGGGGCAUGGAUCAGUCUCCAAAAAUUAAGUUAUAUUCAUCACCCCACUGAAACUGACUGACAGCAAACCUAAGAUUUAUAAAAUAAAUGGAUAUGUCCCAUGCUGCAUUUUCUAAUUGUCCUAAGCAGCAAAUAGGUUAGCUGAUUUAUUUUUUCUUUAUUUAUUUAUUCUAGUUUUUAGGGAAUAUGGAAAUACAAAGACUGUGGUACUUCUGUUUUGUGAAGAUCUGAACUCCCUAAAAUUUGAAGCUUGAACAUCAACAUUAUGGACGCCACCAUUGUAUCCGGUAGAAAGUCUCAGAAAAGCAGUUAAGAAUGGAAGAGUUGGAGGAGAAAUGGCCUGCAUUUGAUCACAGUGGAUGAAGUAAAUAACUUUUCUAACCAAUGGUAAUAGGCCAGUUGUGACCUGUUAAACAGAACCCAAGAUAAUGAGCCAGACCAAUUUAUGAUCAGAACUGUCAAAAUGAGAUUUCACACCACAUUUACAAUUGCAUGUCUGUUUAUUUUUUAAAGAUCAAUCAAGCAUUUCUGAGGAUUACUGUUCCACUUCAACCGUGAUUCCCCGCUUCCUUGGAAUAGCGAAGGAGGAGUUUUCAAGGAGAAGACACAGAACGUCCUAUCAGCCCAGUCACUCUCCUGAUAAACUCUGAUAGUAGAAUCUGAAGAAGCCAGAAGAGUCAGAAGAAGAUGGUUCGUGUUUAUCAGGUUAAAGCAGCAGAUAUCUAGCUUUCUAAAGCUUGGUUUCGUGUGUUGUAAAAAGCUGUAAGCUUAAGCAGAAUCAAGUGCACAAUAAUUAUCAAACAGUGACUCAUAAUUUUAUCUGACUACUUAAUGGUGUGAACCUGAUCU
rnacentral:lncRNA from 1 species